AUAAUUAUAAAUAAUACGGUAUAAUGCUGAUCAAAAAAUAAUUCAAUUCCUCAUUUUUAUCAUUCAACAUUUAACUUGCCAGCUAUACAAUGCCAAAAAAUCUAGUGAUGUAGAUGAUGGAAGGUUCCAGCUAUUCGUUAGCAACUAUAAAUAUUCAGACAUCAAUGAAAAUUAUAGAAAAAAAAAUCAAAAAUUUGAGGCAAGCUCAAUACCACCGCAUAAGAGUGAGCUUUAUCAACAACUUUUGAGGGCCCACUAUAUUUCUUCUAUUUGGAGAAAUGCUUACAAAAAGCAACUGACAACUUUAGACCCAUUGGAGUAUGGUUGGAUUGAGCAGGACAACAUAUAUGCCUUCAAAGGGUUCGAAGGUGACCAACUUCCAUAUUUUGUGAGUGACUUAAUCACCAAUGUUCCUGUAUUCGAUUCAAUGGUUGAUGAAGACGAGUCGCCUAACGAUAAAGAUAACUCCGAUGAUGAUGAUGAUGAAUGAAGAUUGAUAUAUAUAUAUAAUAUGUAAUGCAUGCAUGAUAUAUUUUUUUAACUGAUUUAACACUUUUAAAUUUUGUCUUGACGAAAUAAAAAUGAGGAAUUGAAUUCUUUUUUGAUCAGCA